rnacentral:lncRNA from 1 species
CAUGUGCAUCUUGUUGAGGAGAACACUAAGCUAAAGGUGCAACUUGAGAGAGGUCUUGCGACUUGCAUACUGAUACGUCUCCAACGUAUCUAUAAUUUUUGAUUGCUCCAUGCUAUAUUAUCUACUGUUUUGGGCAAUAUUGGGGUUUAUUAUCCACUUCUAUAUUAUUUUUGGGACUAACCUAUUAACCGGAGGCCCAGCCCAGAUUUGCUGUUUUAGGCCUAUUUCAGUGUUUCGAAGAAAAGGAAUAUCAAACGGAGUCGAAACGGAACGAAAUCAACUGGAGAAGUUAUUUUUUGAACGAAAGCCAUCGGAUAGACUUGGACUCCACGUCAGGAGAUACGGGAGGUGCUCACGAGGGUGCCCCCCCUAGGGCGCGCCCCCUGCCUCGUGGGGCCCCCGUAGCUCCCCUGACGUACUUCCUGCACCCAUAUAUAUCGUCGUACCCUAAAACUUCCAGAACGAAGAAUAGAUCGGGAGUUCCGCCGCUAGAAGCCUCCGUAGCCACCAAAACUCAAUCGGGACCCUGUUCCGGCACCCUGCCGGAGGGGGGAACCCUCACCGGUGGCCAUCUUCAUCAUCCUGGCGCUCUCCAUGACGAGGAGGGAGUAGUUCUCCCUCGGGGCUGAGGGUAUGUACCAGUAGCUAUGUGUUUGAUCUCUCUCUCUCUCGUGUUCUUGAGGUGAUACAAUCUUGAUGUAUCGCGAGCUUUGCUAUUAUAGUUGGAUAUUAUGUUUCUCCUCCCCCUCUUCUCUCUUGCAAUGAAUUGAGUUUCCCUUUUGAAGUUAUCUUAUCGGAUUGAGUCUUUAAAGAUUUGAGAACACUUGAUGUAUGUCUUGCCGUGGAAAUCUGGGGUGACAAUGGGAUACCACGUGCCACUUGAUGUAUGUUAAGGUGAUCAACUUGCGGGUUUCGUGACAUUGGGAACCUAUGCAUAGGGGUUGGCACACGUUUUCGUCGUGAUUCUCCGGUAGGAACUUUGGGGCACUCUUUGAGGUCUUUUGUGUUGGUUGAGUAGAUGAAUCUGAGAUUGUGUGACGCAUAUUGUAUAAUCAUACCCACGGAUACUUGAGGUGUCAUUGGAGUAUCUAGGUGACAUUAGGGUUUUGGUUGAUUUGUGUCUUAAGGUGUUAUUCUAGUACGAACUCUAGGGCUGUUUGUGACACUUAUAGGAAUAGCCCAACGGAUUGAUUGGAAAGAAUAACUUUGAGAUGGUUUCGUACCCUACCAUAAUCUCUUCGUUUGUUCUCCGCUAUUAGUGACUUUGGAGUGACUCUUUGUUGCAUGUUGAGGGAUAGUUAUGUGAUCCAAUUAUGUUAGUAUUGUUGAGGGAACUUACACUAGCGAAAGUAUGAACCCUAGGCCUUGUUUCCUAUCAUUGCAAUACCGUUUACACUCACUUUUAUCACUUGCUACCUUGCUGUUUUUAUUAUUUCAGAUUACAAAAACUAUUAUCUACUAUCCAUAUUGCACUUGUAUCACCAUCUCUUCGCCGAACUAGUGCACCUAUACAAUUUACCAUUGUAUUGGGUGUGUUGGGGACACAAGAGACUCUUUGUUAUUUGGUUGCAGGGUUGCUUGAGAGAGACCAUCUUUAUCCUACGCCUCCUACGGAUUGAUAACCUUAGGUCAUCCACUUGAGGGAAAUUUGCUACUGUCCUACAAACCUCUGCACUUGGAGGCCCAACAACAUCUACAAGAAGAAGGUUGUGUAGUAGACAUCAAGCUCUUUUCUGGCGCCGUUGCCGGGGAGGUGAGUGCUUGAAGGUAUAUCUUUAGAUCUUGCAAUCGAGUCUUUUAGUUUCUUGUUUUAUCACUAGUUUAGUUUAUAAAAGAAAACUAUAAAAAAUGGAAUUGAGUUUGUCUCAUACGCUUCACCUUUUUAAUAUCUUUCGUGAGUAUGAUGGAAAGGAUAAUUGUGCUCAAGUGCUAGAAGAAGAGAUCUCUAAAAUGUUUGGCACUAAAUAUUUGAAUGAUGAGCAUGAUUGCAAUGUUGUUAGUACGAAUUCUUUGAAUAUCCAUGAUGCUAAUGAUGAUUGCACUAGUUAUGAUGAAAAUGUCUCCUAUAAACAUGUCAAUUUUUGUGGAGUAGACUGGGUUUGCAAGUGAAGGAAAUAUGCCCUAGAGGCAAUAAUAAAGUUAUUAUUUAUUUCCUUAUAUCAUGAUAAAUGUUUAUUAUUCAUGCUAGAACUGUAUUAACCGGAAACAUAAUACAUGUGUGAAUACAUAGAAAAACAGAGUGUCACUAGUAUGCCUCUACUUGACUAGCUCGUUAAUCAAAGAUGGUUAUGUUUCCUAACCAUGAACAAGGAGUUGUUAUUUGAUUAACGAGAUCACAUCAUUAGGUGAAUGAUCUGAUUGACAUGACCCAUUCCAUUAGCUUAGCACCCGAUCGUUUAGUAUGUUGCUAUUGCUUUCUUCAUGACUUAUACAUGUUCCUAUGACUAUGAGAUUAUGCAACUCCCGUUUGCCGGAGGAACACUUUAUGUGCUACCAAACGUCACAACGUAAAUGGGUGAUUAUAAAGGUGCUCUACAGGUGUCUCCAAAGGUACAUGUUGGGUUGGCGUAUUUCGAGAUUAGGAUUUGUCACUCUGAUUGUCGGAGAGGUAUCUCUGGGCCCUCUCGGUAAUGCACAUCACAUAAGCCUUGCAAGCAUUGCAACUAAUGAGUUAGUUGCGAGAUGAUGUAUUACGAAACGAGUAAAGAGACUUGCCGGUAACGAGAUUGAAUUAGGUAUUGAGAUAUCGACGAUCGAAUCUCGGGCAAGUAACAUACCGAUGACAAAGGCAACAACGUAUGUUGUUAUGCGGUCUGACCGAUAAAGAUCUUCGUAGAAUAUGUAGGAGCCAAUAUGGGCAUCCAGGUCCCGCUAUUGGUUAUUGACCGGAGACAUGUCUCGGUCAUGUCUACAUUGUUCUCAAACCCGUAGGGUCCGCACGCUUAAGGUUUCGAUGACAGUUAUAUUAUGAGUUUAUGAGUUUUGAUGUACCGAAGUUAGUUCGGAGUCCCGGAUGUGAUCACAGACAUAAUGAGGAGUCUCGAAAUGGUCGAGACAUAAAUAUUGAUAUAUUGGAUGGCUAUAUUCGGACACCAGAAGUGUUCCGGGUGAUUUCGGAGAAAACCGGAGAGCCGGAGGGUUACCGGAACCCCCCUCGGGAGAAGUAAUGGGCCAUAUGGGCCUUAGUGGAGAGAGAGGGGGCUGCCAGAGGUGGGCCGCGCGCCUCCUCCCCCCUGGUCCGAAUUGGACUAGGAGAGGGGGGCGGCGCCCCCCUUUCCCUCUCCCUCCCCACUUCUUUCCCCCUCCUAGUAGGAGUCCUACUCCUACUAGGAGGAGGACUCCUCCUGGCGCGCCUAUAGGGGCCGGCCGGCCUCCUCCCCUUGCUCCUUUAUAUACGGGGGCAGGGGGCACCCCUAGACACACAAGUUGAUCUUCAUGAUCGUUCCUUUGCCGUGUGCGGUGCCCCCCUCCACCAUAUUCCACCUCGGUCAUAUUGUAGCGGUGCUUAGGCGAAGCCCUGCGACGGUAGUACAUCAAGAUCGUCACCACGCCGUCGUGCUGACGGAACUCUUCCCCGACGCUUUGUUGGAUCGGAGCCCGGGGAUCGUCAUCGAGCUGAACGUGUGCUAGAACUCGGAGGUGCCGUAGUUUCGGUGCUUGAUCGGUCGGGCCGUGGAGACGUACGACUACAUCAACCAAACGCUUCUGUUGUCGAUCUACAAGGGUACGUAGAUCACACUCUCCCCUCUCGUUGCUAUGCAUCACCAUGAUCUUGCGUGUGCGUAGGAAAGUUUUUGAAAUUACUACGUUCCCCAACAGUGGCAUCCGAGCCUAGGUUUUAUAUGUUGAUGUUAUAUGCACGAGUAGAACACAAGUGAGUUGUGGGCGAUAUAAGUCAUACUGCUUACCAGCAUGUCAUACUUUGGUUCGGCGGUAUUGUUGGACGAAGCGGCCCGGACCGACAUUACGCGUACGCUUACGCGAGACCGGUUCUCCCGACGUGCUUUGCACAUAGGUGGCUUGCGGGUGACAGUUUCUCCAACUUUAGUUGAACCGAGUGUGGCUACGCCCGGUCCUUGCGAAGGUUAAAACAACACCAACUUGACAAACUAUCAUUGUGGUUUUGAUGCGUAGGUAAGAUUGGUUCUUACUUAAGCCCGUAGCAGCCAUGUAAAACUUGCAACAACAAAGUAGAGGACGUCUAACUUGUUUUUGCAGGGCAUGUUGUGAUGUGAUAUGGUCAAGACAUGAUGCUAAAUUUUAUUGUAUGAGAUGAUCAUGUUUUGUGACCGAGUUAUCGGCAACUGGCAGGAGCCAUAUGGUUGUCGCUUUAUUGUAUGCAAUGCAAUCGCGCUGUAAUGCUUUACUUUAUCACUAAGCGGUAGCGAUAGUCGUGGAAGCAUAAGAUUGGCGUGACGACAACGACGCUACAAUGGAGAUCAAGGUGUCGCGCUGGUGACGAUGGUGAUCAUGACGGUGCUUCGAUGGAGAUCACAAGCACAAGAUGAUGAUGGCCAUAUCAUAUCACUUAUAUUGAUUGCAUGUGAUGUUUAUCUUUUAUGCAUCUUAUCUUGCUUUGAUUGACGGAAGCAUUAUAAGAUGAUCUCUCACUAAUUAUCAAGAAGUGUUCUCCCUGAGUAUGCACCGUUGCGAAAGUUCUUCGUGCUGAGACACCACGUGAUGAUCGGGUGUGAUAGGCUCUACGUUCAAAUACAAUGGGUGCAAAACAGUUGCACACGCGGAAUACUCAGGUUAUACUUGACGAGCCAAGCAUAUACAGAUAUGGCCUCGGAACACAGAGACCGAAAGGUCGAGCGUGAAUCAUAUAGUAGAUAUGAUCAACAUAAUGUUGUUCACCAAUGAAACUACUCCAUCUCACAUGAUGAUCGGACAUGGUUUAGUUGAUUUGUAUCACGUAAUCACUUAGAGGAUUAGAGGGAUGUUUAUCUAAGUGGGAGUUCUUUAAGUAAAUUAAUUGAACCUAAAUUUAUCAUGAAACUUAGUACCUGAUAGUAUAUUGCUUGUUUAUGCUUGAUUGUAGAUAGAUGGCUCGUGUUGUUGUUCCGUUGAAUUUUAAUGCGUUCCUUGAGAAAGCAAAGUUGAAAGAUGAUGGUAGCAAUUACACGGACUGGGUCCGUAACUUGAGGAUUAUCCUCAUUGCUGCACAGAAGAAUUACGUCUUGGAAGCACCGCUGGGUGCCAGGCCUGCUGCUGGAGCAACACCAGAUGUUAUGAACGUCUGGCAGAGCAAAGCUGAUGACUACUCGAUAGUUCAGUGUGCCAUGCUUUACGGCUUAGAAUCGGGACUUCAACGACGUUUUGAACGUCAUGGAGCAUAUGAGAUGCUCCAGGAGUUGAAGUUAAUAUUUUAAGCAAAUGCCCGGAUUAAGAGAUAUGAAGUCUCCAAUAAGUUCUAUAGCUGCAAGAUGGAGGAGAACAGUUCUGUCAGUGAGCAUAUACUCAAAAUGUCUGGGUAUAAUAAUCACUUGAUUCAAUUGGGAGUUAAUCUUCCAAAUGAUUGCGUCAUUGACGGAAUUCUCCAAUCACUACCACCAAGCUACAAGAGCUUCGUGAUGAACUAUAAUAUGCAAGGGAUGAAUAAGACUAUUCUCGAGCUCUUCGCAAUGCUAAAAGCUGCGAAGGUAGAAAUCAAGAAGGAGCAUCAAGUGUUGAUGGCCAACAAGACCACUAGUUUCAAGAAAAAGGGCAAAGGGAAGAAGAAGAGGAACUUCAAAAGGAACGGCAAGCAAGUUGCUACUCAAGAGAAGAAACCCAAAACUGGACCUAAGCCUGAAACUGAGUGCUUCUACUGCAAGCAGACUGGUCACUGGAAGCGGAACUGCCCCAAGUAUUUGGCGGAUAAGAAGGAUGGCAAGGUGAACAAAGGUAUAUGUGAUAUACAUGUUAUUGAUGUGUACCUUACUAAUGCUCGCAGUAGCACCUGGGUAUUUGAUACUGGUUCUGUUGCUAAUAUUUGCAACUUGAAACAGGGACUACGGAUUAAGCGAAGAUUGGCUAAGGACGAGGUAACGAUGCGCGUGGGAAACGGUUCCAAAGUCGAUGUGAUCGCAGUCGGCACGCUACCUCUACAUCUACCUUCGGGAUUAAUAUUAGACCUAAAUAAUUGUUAUUUGGUGCCAGCGUUAAGCAUGAACAUUAUAUCUGGAUCUUGUUUGAUGCGAGACGGUUAUUCAUUUAAAUCUGAGAAUAAUGGUUGUUCUAUUUAUAUGAGUAAUAUCUUUUAUGGUCAUGCACCCUUAAAGAGUGGUCUAUUUUUAUUGAAUCUCGAUAGUAGUGACACACAUAUUCAUAGUGUUGAAGCCAAAAGAUGCAGAGUUGAUAAUGAUAGUGCAACUUAUUUGUGGCACUGCCGUUUAGGUCAUAUCGGUGUAAAGCGCAUGAAGAAACUCCAUACUGAUGGACUUUUGGAACCACUUGAUUAUGAAUCACUUGGUACUUGCGAACCGUGCCUCAUGGGCAAGAUGACUAAAACACCAUUCUCCGGUACUAUGGAGAGAGCAACAGAUUUAUUAGAAAUCAUACAUACAGAUAUAUGUGGUCCGAUGAAUAUUGAGGCUCGUGGCGGAUAUCGUUAUUUUCUCACCUUCACAGAUGACUUAAGCAGAUAUGGGUAUAUCUACUUAAUGAAACAUAAGUCUGAAACAUUUGAAAAGUUCAAAGAAUUUCAGAGUGAAGUUGAAAAUCAUCGUAACAAGAAAAUAAAGUUUCUACGAUCUGAUCGUGGAGGAGAAUAUUUGAGUUACGAGUUUGGUGUACAUUUGAAAAAUUGUGGAAUAGUUUCGUAACUCACGCCACCCGGAACACCACAGCGUAAUGGUGUGUCCGAACAUCGUAAUCGUACUUUACUAGAUAUGGUGCGAUCUAAGAUGUCUCUUACUGAUUUACCGCUAUCAUUUUGGGGACACGCUCUAGAGACGGCCGCAUUCACGCUAAAUAGGGCACCAUCAAAAUCCGUUGAGACGACGCCUUAUGAACUGUGGUUUGGCAAGAAACCAAAGUUGUCGUUUCUGAAAGUUUGGGGCUGUGAUGCUUAUGUGAAAAAGCUUCAACCUGAUAAGCUCGAAUCCAAAUCGGAGAAAUGUGUCUUCAUAGGAUAUCCAAAGGAAACUAUUGGAUACACCUUCUAUCACAGAUCCGAAGGCAAAACUUUUGUUGCUAAGUUCAGAAACUUUCUAGAGAAGGAGUUUCUCUCGAAAGAAGUGAGUGGGAGGAAAGUAGAACUUGACGAGGUAACUGUACCUGCUCCCUUAUUGGAAAGUAGUGCAUCACAGAAAACUGUUUCUGUGACACCUACACCAGUUAGUGAGGAAGCUAAUGAUGAUGAUCAUGAAACUUCAGAACAAGAUACUACUGAACCUCGUAGAUCAACCAGAGUGAGAUCCGCACCAGAGUGGUACGGUAAUCCUGUUCUGGAAGUCAUGCUACUAGGUCAUGAUGAACCUACGAACUAUGAAGAAGCGAUGGUGAGCCCAGAUUCCGCAAAAUGGCUUGAAGCCAUGAAAUCUGAGAUGGGAUCCAUGUAUGAGAACAAAGUAUGGACUUUGGUUGACUUUCCCGAUGAUCGGCAAGCAAUUGAGAAAAAAUGGAUCUUCAAGAAGAAGACUGACGCUGACGGUAAUAUUACUGUCUACAAAGCUCGACUUGUCACAAAAGGUUUUCGGCAAGUUCAAGGGAUUGACUACGAUGAGACCUUCUCACCCGUAGCGAUGCUUAAGUCUGUCCGAAUCAUGUUAGCAAUUGCCGCAUUUUAUGAUUAUGAAAUUUGGCAGAUGGAUGUCAAAACUGCAUUCCUGAAUGGAUUUCUGGAAGAAGAGUUGUAUAUGAUGCAACCAGAAGGUUUUGUCGAUCCAAAGGGAGCUAACAAAGUGUGCAAACUCCAGCGAUCCAUUUAUGGACUGGUGCAAGCCUCUCGGAGUUGGAAUAAAUGCUUUGAUAGUGUGAUCAAAGCAUUUGGUUUUAUACAGACUUUUGGAGAAGCCUGUAUUUACAAGAAAGUGAGUGGGAGCUCUGUAGCAUUUCUGAUAUUAUAUGUAGAUGACAUAUUACUAAUUGGAAAUGAUAUAGAAUUUCUGGAUAGCAUAAAGGGAUACUUGAAUAAGAGUUUCUCAAUGAAAUACCUCGGUGAAGCUGCUUACAUAUUAGGCAUUAAGAUCUAUAGAGAUAGAUCAAGACGCUUAAUUGGACUUUCACAAAGCACAUACCUUGACAAAGUUUUGAAGAAGUUCAAAAUGGAUCAAGCAAAGAAAGGGUUCUUGCCUGUGUUACAAGGUGUGAAGUUGAGUAAGACUCAAUGCCCGACCACUUCAGAAGAUAGAGAGAAUAUGAAAGAUGUUCCCUAUGCUUCAGCCAUAGGCUCUAUCAUGUAUGCAAUGAUGUGUACCAGACCUGAUGUGUGCCUUGCUAUAAGUCUAGCAGGGAGGUACCAAAGUAAUCCAGGAGUGGAUCACUGGACAGCGGUCAAGAACAUCCUAAAAUACCUGAAAAGGACUAAGGAUAUGUUUCUCAUAUAUGGAGGUGACAAAGAGCUCAUCGUAAAAGGUUACGUUGGUGCAAGCUUUGACACUGAUCCGGACGAUUCUAAAUCGCAAACCGGAUACGUGUUUACAUUAAACGGUGGAGCUGUCAGUUGGUGCAGUUCUAAACAAAGCGUUGUAGCGGGAUCUACAUGUGAAGCGAAGUACAUAGCUGCUUCGGAAGCAGCAAAUGAAGGAGUCUGGAUGAAGGAGUUCAUAUCCGAUCUAGGUGUCAUACCUAGUGCAUCGGGUCCAAUGAAAAUCUUUUGUGACAAUACUGGUGCAAUUGCCUUGGCAAAGGAAUCCAGAUUUCACAAGAGAACCAAGCACAUCAAGAGACGCUUCAAUUCCAUCAGGGAUCUAGUCCAGGUGGGAGACAUAGAGAUUUGCAAGAUACAUACGGAUCUGAAUGUUGCAGACCCGUUGACUAAGCCUCUUCCACGAGCAAAACAUGAUCAGCACCAAGGCUCCAUGGGUGUUAGAAUCAUUACUGUAUAAUCUAGAUUAUUGACUCUAGUGCAAGUGGGAGACUGAAGGAAAUAUGCCCUAGAGGCAAUAAUAAAGUCAUUAUUUAUUUCCUUAUAUCAUGAUAAAUGUUUAUUAUUCAUGCUAGAACUGUAUUAACCGGAAACAUAAUACAUGUGUGAAUACAUAGACAAACAGAGUGUCACUAGUAUGCCUCUACUUGACUAGCUCGUUAAUCAAAGAUGGUUAUGUUUCCUAACCAUGAACAAGGAGUUGUUAUUUGAUUAACGAGAUCACAUCAUUAGGUGAAUGAUCUGAUUGACAUGACCCAUUCCAUUAGCUUAGCACCCGAUCGUUUAGUAUGUUGCUAUUGCUUUCUUCAUGACUUAUACAUGUUCCUAUGACUAUGAGAUUAUGCAACUCCUGUUUGCCGGAGGAACACUUUGUGUGCUACCAAACGUCACAACGUAAAUGGGUGAUUAUAAAGGUGCUCUAUAGGUGUCUCCAAAGGUACAUGUUGGGUUGGCGUAUUUCGAGAUUAGGAUUUGUCACUCCGAUUGUCGGAGAGGUAUCUCUGGGCCCUCUCGGUAAUGCACAUCACAUAAGCCUUGCAAGCAUUGCAACUAAUGAGUUAGUUGCGAGAUGAUGUAUUACGAAAUGAGUAAAGCGACUUGCCGGUAACGAGAUUGAACUAGGUAUUGAGAUACCGACGAUCGAAUCUCGGGCAAGUAACAUAUCGAUGACAAAGGGAACAACGUAUGUUGUUAUGCGGUCUGACCGAUAAAGAUCUUCGUAGAAUAUGUAGGAGCCAAUAUCCAGGUUCCGCUAUUGGUUAUUGACCGGAGACGUGUCUCGGUCAUGUCUACAUUGUUCUCGAACCCGUAGGGUCCGCACGCUUAAGGUUUCGAUGACAGUUAUAUUAUGAGUUUAUGAAUUUUGAUGUACCGAAGUUAGUUCGGAGUCCCGGAUGUGAUCACGGACAUGACGAGGAGUCUCGAAAUGGUCGAGACAUAAAGAUUGAUAUAUUGGACGGCUAUAUUCGGACACCAGAAGUGUUCCGGGUGAUUUCGGAGAAAACCGGAGAGCCGGAGGGUUACCGGAACCCCCCCCCCGGGAGAAGUAAUGGGCCAUAUGGGCCUUAGUGGAGAGAGAGAGGGGCUGCCAGAGGUGGGCCGCGCGCCUCCUCCCCCUUGGUCCGAAUUGGACUAGGAGAGGGGGGGCGGCGCCCCCCUUUCCCUCUCCCUCCCCACUUCUUUCCCCCUCCUAGUAGGAGUCCUACUCCUACUAGGAGGAGGACUCCUCCUGGCGCGCCUAUAGGGGCCGGCCGGCCUCCUCCCCUUGCUCCUUUAUAUACGGGGGCAGGGGGCACCCCUAGACACACAAGUUGAUCUUCGUGAUCGUUCCUUAGCCGUGUGCGGUGCCCCCCUCCACCAUAUUCCACCUCGGUCAUAUUGUAGCGAUGCUUAGGCGAAGCCCUGCGACGGUAGUACAUCAAGAUCGUCACCACGCCGUCGUGCUGACGGAACUCUUCCCCGACGCUUUGCUGGAUCGGAGCCCGGGGAUCGUCAUCAAGCUGAACGUGUGCUAGAACUCGGAGGUGCCGUAGUUUCGGUGCUUGAUCGGUCGGGCCGUGGAGACGUACGACUACAUCAACCAAACGCUUCUGUUGUCGAUCUACAAGGGUACGUAGAUCACACUCUCCCCUCUCGUUGCUAUGCAUCACCAUGAUCUUGCGUGUGCGUAGGAAUUUUUUUGAAAUUACUACGUUCCCCAACAGCAAGUACACACCAAUUAGGGAAGAUAGAUAUUGCAAGAGGCAUAAGUACUUAGAAACUAAAUUGUUGCAAGAAGAGCUAGAUGAAUGUGCUGAUAGGUUCAAUAUUUUCCGUGCCCCUUGUGAACUUUGCAAUGAACAUGGUCAUUUAAAGCUCCAAUGCUAUUUGUUUAAUGAUCAAGUCGUGUCCAAACAUUGUGAUAAUCUGAUUACCCUUGAGCAUCAUAAAGAGCUUAGCCUUCUUUUGGGUUAUGAAGAAAUGAAACGUAUAACUGAGGGUAUUCCAAAGUUGAAUCUUGAUAGAGUUCUUGAUUUUGAUCUACAGAAUAUUUAUAUGUAUUGUGCGGUGAAUUGCAUUGAAAAUCCUUAUACUGCCAAUUACAUAAAGAAAAGAAAACAAAUAGAGGGUGAAGAGAAUACUAAUGAAAGGGAAGAGACUUCCCAAUAUCCUCCUAUUAUUUCUUAUGAUGAAUCAGGUAACGAGGAGGAGCCUCCUAUUCAACCAAUCUCAUUCAUAAGGAGCUCCAAAAAGAGGAUUGAACCCAGACAUGAUGUGGUGAAGAAGAAGAAAAGAAAAAGGAAGAGAGGUAAAAAGGUAUCUCUCCCAAAUAAAGUUGCUCCUAUUAUUGUUGUGCCUCAUGAAAAUGAAGAUGAUACACUUGAUGAUGAUCUCGUUAUGCCUAUUGCUUGUUGUGAUGAUUAUGAUUUGGAAGAUAAUGAUACUUCUUAUGAUCUUGAAAAUCUUUUUGGUACUUGCUUGGAAGAAUAUAAUAAUUGCUAUACUAUCGGUGCUAUCUAUACUAUUAAUGAUGAGAGUGAUUAUGCUUAUGAUAUGAAAAGGCCCAAGCUUGGGGAAGCUAUGUUUGAUGAGGAUGACAUAUUUGAGAAUAUAUUGCUACAAUUAAUGUUUGUCCCAAGCUUGGGGAAGCUAUGAUUAAUGAAGAUGAUAUUUUUAGUCACCCAAGUUUUGAUAUGCAAGUUUAUAAUAAUGAUAGCAUGCCUCCUACUUAUGAUGAUUAUUAUGAUGAUACUUAUGCUAUAAAAAGUAGUGAUUAUAUUUAUAAAACUUGUCAUGGUUAUGAUUACCCCUUCUCUGAACAUUACUCUUUUAAUGUGGAAACAAUUUAUAGUAUUCGAGUUUCCUAUGAUACUCCCACUAUUCCGAAUGAGAAGAAUUUUGCUUAUGUGGAGAGUAAUAAAAUUUCUAUGCUUGUAGAUCAUGAAAAGAAUGCUUUAGGUACUGGUUAUAUUGUUAAAUUCAUUCAUGAUGCUACUGAAAAUUAUUAUGAGGGAGGAAUAUAUGCUUGUAGGAAUUGCAAUAAUAUCAAGUUUCCUCUCUAUGUGCUUAAAGUUUUGAAGUUAUACUUGUUUUGCCUUCCUAUGCUAGUUGAUUAUUGUUCCCAUAAGUUGUUUGCUCACAAAAUCCCUAUACAUAGGAAGUAUGUUAUACUUAAAUGUGCUAGUCAUAUUCUUCAUGAUGCUCUUUUUAUGUUACAAUUCUUAUCCUUUAUGUGAGCAUCAUUGAAAUCAUCAUGCCUAGCUAGGGGCGUUAAACGAUAGCGCUUGUUGGGAGGCAACCGAACUUUAUUUUUGUUCCUUGAUUUUUGUUCCUGUUUAGUAAUAAAUAAUUCAUCUAGUCUCUGUUUAGAUGUGGUUUUAUGCUUUUAAUUAGUGUUUGUGCCAAGUAGAACCUUCGGGAAGACUUGGGGAAAGUCUUGUUGAUCAUGCUGUAAAAAACAGAAACUUUAGCGCUCACGAGAACUGCUGCCAUUUUUAUCUGUAGAGUGCUAUUUAGUUAAUUAUUUUUGCAGAUGAUUAAUAGAUAAAUUCCUCAGGUCCAGAAAUUUAUUUGAGAAUUUUAUGAGUUCCAGAAGUAUACGUUUGAUUCAGAUUACUACAGACUGUUCUGUUUUUAACAGAUUCUGUUUUUCAUGUGUUGUUUACUUAUUUUGAUGAAUCUAUGGCUAGUAAAAGAGUUUAUAAACCAUAGAGAAGUUGGAAUACAGUAGGUUUAACACCAAUAUAAAUAAAUAAUGAGUUCAUUACAGUACCUUGAAAUGGUGAUUUAUUUUCUUAUACUAACGGAGCUUACGAGUUUUCUGUUAAGUUUUGUGUUGUGAAGUUUUCAAGUUUUGGGUAAGGAUUCGAUGAACUAUGGAAUAAGGAGUGGUAAGAGCCUAAUAUUGGGGAUGCCCGAGGCACCCCAAGGUAAUAUUCAAGGAUAGACAAGAGUCUAAGCUUGGGGAUGCCCCGGAAGGCAUCCCCUCUUUCGUCUUCGUUCAUCGGUAACUUUACUUGGAGCUAUAUUUUUAUUUACCACAUGAUAUGUGUUUUGCUUGGAGCGUCAAUUUAUUUUGUUAGGGUUUGAUUGCUGUUAUUUAGAACAUUGUUUUGCAUCUUUUAUUUCAAUAAAAGUGGCAUUGAUAGCCUUUACUAUGCCUAUUUUAGAAGUCCACAUGUUGCUGUUUGAAAACAGAAAGUUUACCGUUGUUGCAAUAAUUCCCUAGAAAAGUCAGAAUGUGAUAAAAUGUUGAAACCUUUUGCAUAUUAAUAUAUUAUAAAUUUACUACAGUGGGAAUUUUAUUUCAUAAUUUUUGGAGCUAGGGAAGUAUGGAUGUUGCAGCAUUCUUUACAGACUAUCCUGUUUAGGCAGAUUGCUGUUAUGUUUGCAUUGUUUGCAUAUGUUUGCUUCUUUAAUGAUUCUAUUUGAGGAUAGGACUAUUAAAUAUGCAGAGGCAUUUAGUAUUAAAUGUUGAAUAAUAAUUUUAGUGAUUUGCUACAGUAGAGUAUGAUAAGGUUUUGGCAAUGGUUUAUACUAACUUAUCUCACGAGUCCUUGUUGAGUUUUGUGUGGAUGAAGCUUUUGAGAUUUAGGGAGACCGUGAUAUGAGAGGAACUAAGGAGACACAAAAUCUCAAGAUUGGGGAUGCCCAAGGCACCCCAAGAUAAUAUUUCAAGAAGUCUCAAGCAUCUAAGCUUGGGGAUGCCCCGGUUGGCAUCCCACCUUUCUUCUUCAACAACUAUAGGUUAGUAUCGGUUGAUCCUAAGUUUUUGCUUCUUCACAUGAUGUUUGCUAUUCUUAGAAUGUCAUUUUAUUUUGCUUUGCUUGCUGUUUAAAUAGAAUACCAAGAUCUGAAAUUAUUAAAUGUUAGAGAGUCUUCACAUAGUUGCAUAAUUAUUCGACUACUCAUUGAUCUUCACUUAUAUCUUUCGGAGUAGUUUGUCAUUUGCUCUAGUGCUUCACUUAUAUCUUUUAGAGCAUGGUGGUAGUUUUAUUUUGAAGAAAUAGAUGAACUCUCAUGCUUUACUUAGAUCAUUCUGAGAGUCUUAAAUAGCAUGGUAAUUUGCUUAAAAUCCUAAUAUGCUAGGUAUUCAAGAAUAAUAAAAUUCUCUUAUGAGUGUGUUGAAUACUAAGAGAAGUUUGAUACUUGAUGAUUGUUUUGAGAUAUGAGGAUGGUAAUAUUAGAGUCAUGCUAGUUGAGUAGUUGUGAAUUUUAGAAAUACUUGUGUUGAAGUUUGUGAUUCCCGUAGCAUGCACGUAUGGUGAACCGUUAUGUGAUGAAGUCGGAGCAUGAUUUAUUUAUUGAUUGUCUUCCUUAUGAGUGGCGGUCAGGGACGAGCGAUGGUCUUUUCCUACCAAUCUAUCCCCCUAGAAGCAUGCGCGUAAUACUUUGCUUUGAUAACUUGUAGAUUUUUGCAAUAAGUAUAUGAGUUCUUUAUGACUAAUGUUGAGUCCAUGGAUUAUACACACUCUCACCCUUCCACCUUUGCUAGCCUCUCUAGUACCGCGCAACUUUCGCCGGUACCAUGAACCCACCAUAUACCUUCCUCAAAACAGCCACCAUACCUACUUAUUAUGGCAUUUCCACAGCCAUUCCGAGAUAUAUUUCCAUGCAACUUUCCACCAUUCCAUUUAUUAUGACACGCUUCAUCAUUGUCAUAUUGCUUAGCAUGAUGAUGUAGUUGACAUCGUAUUUGUGGCAAAGCCACCAUUGAUAAUUCUUUCAUACAUGUCACUCAUGAGUCAUUGCACAUCCCGGUACAUCGCCGGAGGCAUCCAUAUAGAGUCAUACUUUGUUCUAGUAUCGAGUUGUAUCAUUGAGUUGUAAAUAAAUAGAAGUGUGAUGAUCAUCAUUCAAUAGAGCAUUGUCCCAAAAAAAGGGAGAAAGGCCAUAAAAAGGUGAUAACCCACAAGUAUAGGGGAUCGCAACAGUUUUCGAUAAGUAAGAGUGUCAAACCCAACGAGGAGCUAAAGGUAGAACAAAUAUUCCCUCAAGUUCUAUCGACCACCGAUACAACUCUACGCACGCUUGAUGUUCGCUUUACCUAGAACAAGUAUGAAACUAGAAGUACUUUGUAGGUGUUGUUGGAUAGGUUUGCAAGAUAAUAAAGAGUACGUAAAUAAAAAGUAGGGGUUGUCUAGAUAAAGAAACAAUAAAGUAAAUAUAGCGGGUGUGGAAAAGUGGUGGUAGGAGUUGCGAAAUUGCCCCUAAGAAAUUGACUACUUUACUAGACCGAUAGCAAGUAUUAUGUGGGAGAGGCCACUGCUAGCAUGUCAUCCCUGACUUGGAAUUCUAUGCACUUAUGAUUGGAACUAUUAGCAAGCAUCCGCAACUACUAACGUUCAUUAAAAUAAAACCCAACCAUAGCAUUAAGAUAUAUUGGUCCCCCUUCAAUCCCGUAUGCAUCAAUUUCUAUGCUAGGUUGAAGCUUCUGUCACUCUUGCCCUCCAAUACAUAGUCCUAUCAACAUACAAACUAACCCUAGGGUGUGAUCCACGCACACAAUCAUAUGAUGGUCACCAAAGGACAACAACAUAACCACAAGCAAAUUAAAUCAAUCAUAGCAAUUCAUCAACCAUCGAUAGGACAACGAAAAUCUACUCAGACAUAAUAGGAUGGCAACACAUCAUUGGAUAAUAAUAUGAAGCAUAAAGCACCAUGUUCAAGUAGAGGGUACAACGGGUUGCGGGAGAGUGGACCGAUGUAGAUAGAGGGGGGAAGGUGAUGGAGAUGUUGGUGAAGAUGGCGGAGGUGUUGGUGUAGAUCGCGGUGAUGAUGAUGAUGGCCAUGGCGGCGUUCCGGCGCCACCGGAGGAGAGGGGGAGAGGGGCCCCCUUCUUCCUCUUCUUCCUUGACCUCCUCCCUAGAUGGGAGAAGGGUUUCCCUUCUGGUCCUUGGCCUCCAUGGCAUGGGAGGGGCGAGAGCCCCUCCGAGAUUGGAUCUAUCUCUCUGUUUCUCUCUGGUUCUGCAUUCUGUCCUGGCUCUGUUUCACCAUUCCGUAUAUAUAUAGAUAUCCGUAACUCGAUCGGCCUAAAACCUUCGCCGUGAUUUUUCCCCGAAUAUUAGCUUUCUUGCGGCAAAAGAAGAGCGUCAACCGCCUUACGGUGGGCUCACAAGGAAAGGGCGCGCCCUAGGGGGCGCGCCCCCCUACCUCGUGACCACCUCGGGCACUGGUUCGCGUUGAUUUUCCUUCCGAAUUUUCCAUAUUUUCCAAAAAUAAGCUCUGUCCGUUUUUAUCCUGUUUGGACUCCGUUUGAUAUGGAUAUUCUGCGAAACCAAAAACAUGCAACAGACAGGAACUGGCACUGGGCACUGGAUCAAUAUGUUAGUCCCAAAAAUAAUAUAAAAAGUUGCCAAAAAGUAUAUGAAAGUUGAAUAAUAUUGGCAUGGAACAAUAAAAAAUUAUAGAUACGACGGAGACGUAUCAGCAUCCCCAAGCUUAAUUCCUGCUCGUCCUCGAGUAGGUAAAUGAUAAAAAAAAUUGAUGUGGAAUGCUACCUAGCAUAAUCUUGAUCAUAUGUCUAAUCAUGGCAUGAAUAUUAAGAUACGAGUGAUUCAAAGCAAUAGUCUAUCAUUUGACAUAAAAACAGUAAUACUUCAAGCCUACUAAUAAAGCAAUCAUGUCUUUUCAAAAUAACAUGGCCAAAGAAAGUUAUCCCUACAAAAUCAUAUAGUAUGGCUAUGCUCCAUCUUCACCACACAAAAUAUUCACAUCAUGCACAACCCCGAUGACAAGCCAAGCAAUUGUUUCAUACUUUUGACGUUCUCAAACCUAUUCAACUUUCACGCAAUACAUGAGCGUGAGCCAUGGACAUAUCACUAUAGGUGGAAUAGAAUAUGAUGAUGGAGAAGACAAAAAGGAGAAGAUAGUCUCACAUCAACUAGGCAUAUCAACGGGCUAUGGAGAUGCCCAUCAAUAGAUAUCAAUGUGAGUGAGUAGGGAUUGCCAUGCAACGGAUGCACUAGAGCUAUAAGUGUAUGAAAGCUCUAACUGAAACUAAGUGGGUGUGCAUCCAACUUGCUUGCUCAUGAAGACCUCGGGCAUUUGAGGAAGCCCAUCAUCGGAAUAUACAAGCCAAGUUCUAUAAUGAAAAUUCCCACUAGUAUAUGAAAGUGAUAACUCAAGAGACUCUCUAUAUGAAGAACAUGGUGCUACUUUGAAGCACAAGUGUGGAAAAAGGAUAGUAGCACUGCCCCUUCUCUCUUUUUCUCUCAUUUUUUUGUUUUUUUGUUUUUAUUUAUUUUUUUGGUGGGCUUCUUUGGCCUUUUUUUUUAUUUGGGCUUCUUUUGCCUCUUUUAUUUUUUUGUAAAGUCCGGAGUCUCAUCCCGACUUGUGGGGGAAUCAUAGUCUCCAUCAUCCUUUCCUCACCGGGGCAAUGCUCUAAUAUUGGUGAUCAUCACACUUUUAUUUACUUACAACUCAAUAUCUAGAACAAAGAUAUGACUCUAUAUAAAUGCCUCCGGCGGUGUACCGGGAUGUGCAAUGAUCUAGCGUAGCAAUGACAUCAAAAAACGGACAAGCCAUGAAAACAUCAUGCUAGCUAUCUUACGAUCAUGCAAAGCAAUAUGACAAUAAAUGCUCAAGUCAUGUAUAUGAUGAUGAUGGAAGUUGCAUGGCAAUAUAUCUCGGAAUGGCUAUGGAAAUGCCAUAAUAGGUAGGUAUGGUGACUGUUUUGAGGAAGGUAUAUGGUGGGUUUAUGGUACCGGUGAAAGUUGCGCGGUACUAGAGAGGCUAGCAAUGGUGGAAGGGUGAGAGUGCGUAUAAUCCAUGGACUCAACAUUAGUCAUAAAGAACUCACAUACUUAUUGCAAAAAUCUAUUUAGUUAUCGAAACAAAGUACUACGCGCAUGCUCCUAGGGGGAUAGAUUGGUAGGAAAAGACCAUCGCUCGUCCCCGACCGCCACUCAUAAGGAAGACAAUCAAUAAAAACCUCAUGCUCCGACUUCGUUACAUAACGGUUCACCAUGCGUGCAUCCUACGGGACUUGCAAACCUCAACACAAGUAUUUCUCAAUUUCAAAAUUACUCAACUAGCACGACUCUAAUAUCACCACCUUUAUAUUGCAAAACUAUUGCAAGGAAUCAAACAUAUCAUAUUCAGCGAUCUACAAGUUUAUGUAGGAUUUUAUGACUAACCAUGUGAAUGACCAGUUCAUGUCAUCUCUCUAAAUAGAUAUAAGUGAAGCAAGAGAGUUUAAUUCUUUCUACAAAAGAUAUUCCCGUGCUCUAACAAAUAUAAGUGAAGCAAAAGAGCAUUCUACAAAUGGCGGUUGUCUAUGUAAAGAGAAACAUGCAAUCCAAACUUCAAAUGAUAUAAGUGAAGCACAUGAAGCAUUCUAUAAAGCCAUACUCAAAAGAUAUAAGUGAAGUGCAAAGAGCAUUAUAUAAAUCAACCAAGGACUAUCUCACACCAGCAUGGUGCAUAAAAUAAAAAUGAAAACUAAAUGCAAAAGACGCUCCAAGAUUGCACAUAUCGCAUGAACGAAACGAAUCCGAAAACAUACCGAUACUUGUUGAAGAAAGAGGGGAUGCCUCCCCAGUAUCCCCAAGCUUAGACGCUUGAGUCUCCUUGAAUAUUUACUUGGGGUGCCUCGGGCAUCCCCAAGCUUGAGCUCUUGCCUCUCUUCCUUCUUCUCACAUCGAGACCUUCUCGAUCAUCGAACACUUCAUCCACACAAAACUUCAACAGAAAACUCGGUAAGAUCCGUUAGUAUAAUAAAGCAAAUCACCACUAUAAGUACUGUUGAAAACCAAUUCAUAUUUUGUUUUUGCAUUGUGGCUACUGUAGUAUAACUUUUUCAUGGCUUAAUCCACUGAUAUAAAUUGAUAGUUUCAUCAAAACAAGCAAACUAUGCAUCAAAAACAGAAUCUGUCUAAAACAGAACAGUUUGUAGCAAUCUGAACAUUCACCAUACUUAUGAUACUUGAAAAAUCCUGCCAAAAUUAGGAAAAAUAAACAAUUUGUACAGCAAUACAGUGCAAAAAUAAUCAUAACCAUUUGACGUUCCAACUAAAAAUGUAAAAUCGCGCACUACAGCCAAAGUUUCUGUCCUGCACCGUACAAAUCAUCAAGCAAAUGUAAACAUCCUAAAGGCAAACUUUGGCACAUUAUUUUUAUGAUACAAUGGAAUUGUACAAGGGGAUAAUUAUUUUUGUUGAAAAGUUUCUGUAAUCAAGAUUCACAAAGUUGCCGUGAGCAUGAACAAAGUUCAAGGAGCUCUCCCACUUCAACAGUGCUUGUCUUUCUCACUUUCACUUUCCUUUUUGAAAAGUUUUGGGUUCCCCUCUUUAUUUUUGUUGUUUUUAAACUAUAUGAAAGCACUCAACAGAAAUAAAUGACUCUCUAAAACUUCCGGGUUGUCUCCCUGGCAGCGCUUUCUUUAAAGCCAUUAAGCUAGGCAUAUAGUGCUCAAGUAGUGAAUCCACCCGGAUCCCAAGGUAUAUCAAAGCCAAUUUUAAUUAACAAUAAUUUGUAAUUUAGUAGUGAGCACAAAGCAACAUAUAUCAAGCAAUGACGAAGUCUAACUCUCUUCCUAUGCAUCGGCAUGUCAUAAAAGAACAAUUCAUGCACACCUAGUAAAGGCCAUUGCAUAGUAUAAACAGUUUCUUGCAAUUUUAUCAUGUGGGAAGCAUAGAGAGGUGGAGAUAUAGUUCCUCUCUCAUAAUAAUUGCAAGUAGGAGCAGCAAGCACAUGCAUAUUAUAUUCAUUAAAAUCAUCAUGUGUAACAGUAAAAGGCAACCCAUCAAUAUAAUCCUUAAUAAGGGCAAACUUCUCCGAUAUAGUGUAGUUUGGAGAAUUCAAAAAGAUAAUAGGACUAUCAUGUGUGGGUGCAAUAGCAACAAUUUCAUGUUUAACAUAAGGAACUAUAGCAAGUUCAUCUCCAUAAGCAUAAUUCGUAUUGGCAUCUUGGCCACAAGCAUAGCAAGCAUCAUCAAAAAGGGAUAUUUCAAAAGAAUCAACGGGAUCAUAACAAUCAUCAUAGCAUUCAUCCUUCGGUAAGCAUGAAGGGAAAUUAAACAAUGUAUGAGUUGAAGAGUUACUCUCAUUAGAAGGUGGGCACGGGUAAUCAAUCCGCUCUUCCUCCUUUUGUUCUUCGCUCUCCUCAUCAUCUUUUUCAUCCAAUGAGCUCGCAGUUUCAUCAAUUUCUUCUUCCAUAGACUCCUGCAAAAUAUUGGUCUCUUCUUGGGCAGCGGAGUAUUCCUCAAUAUAUUGUUUAACAUAGGUAUUAGAAGCAUAAUUAUCAUAGCAAUAUUUAAGUAUAGCAAAAUUUUCAGAUUUGUGAAAAGUAGCAUCAUACUUUUCAAUCAAAGAAGCAAUUUCAUAAGCACCCUCAAAAGCAACAAAUUAUUCAAUUUGUUGAACAUCAUAGUAACUAUAAAUACCUUUAGCAUAAGAAGAUAAGAUUCCAUUAUCAAUAAACUCACAUUGGUAGGGAAGGUGUUUCUUAGGGUUUUCAGAACAACAAGUAAAAUCAUAUAAUUCACAUAAAUUCCAAGCAUAGCAUUGCAAACGUUGAAUUUGACUCCAUAAUAAUUUCCCUUUUUCGGAUAUACAGUGUCGCACAUAACAAGCAUGCUCAUCUAAAGAUUUGACCUCAACUAAGCUAGUUGGGGUUUCGGCACGAGCACAAAGGGAUCGAAGAUGAUCCAAGUAAAAAGCUUCAGCAGUGUGAUAGAUUUUGAGUGGUUCUUCAACCAUUGGUUCAGUAGGUACAACUAUUUUUUUGGUAUUUUGCGUUUCCUACCCAUAACUAAAGAUAGAAAACAACUAAGAACAACAAAUAAAAAUUACUUAGUGAUAAAGCAAACAAGCACACACGAGAAUAUUCAUCCCACGCUAUUGCUCCCUGGCAACGGCGCCAGAAAAAGGUCUUGAUAACCCACAAGUAUAGGGGAUCGCAACAGUUUUCGAUAAGUAAGAGUGUCGAACCCAAUGAGGAGCUAAAGGUAGAACAAAUAUUCCCUCAAGUUCUAUCGACCACCGAUACAACUCUACACACGCUUGACGUUCGCUUUACCUAGAACAAGUAUGAAACUAGAUGUACUUUGUAGGUGUUGUUGGAUAGGUUUACAAGAUAAUAAAGAGUACGUAAAUAAAAAGUAGGGGCUGUCUAGAUAAAGAAACAAUAAAGUAAAUAUAGCAAGUGUGGAAAAGUGGUGGUAGGAGUUGCGAAAUUGCCUCUAAGCAAUUGACUACUUUACUAGACCGAUAGCAAGUAUUAUGUGGGAGAGGCCACUGCUAGCAUGUCAUCCCUGACUUGGAAUUCUAUGCACUUAUGAGUGGAACUAUUAGCAAGCAUUCGCAACUACUAACGUUCAUUAAGGUAAAACCCAACCAUAGCAUUAAGAUAUACUGGUCCCCCUUCAAUCCCGUAUGCAUCAAUUUCUAUGCUAGGUUGAAGCUUCUGUCACUCUUGCCCUCCAAUACAUAGUCCUAUCAACAUACAAACUAACCCUAGGGUGUGAUCCACACGCGCAAUCAUAUGAUGGGCACCAAAGGACAGCAACAUAACCACAAGCAAAUUAAAUCAAUCAUAGCAAUUCAUCAACCACCGAUAGGACAAUGAAAAUCUACUCAGACAUCAUAGGAUGGCAACACAUCAUUGGAUAAUAAUAUGAAGCAUAAAGCACCAUGUUCAAGUAGAGGGUACAGCGGGUUGCAGGAGAGUGGACCGCUGUAGAUAGAGGGGGGAAGGUGAUGGAGAUGUUGGUGAAGAUGGCGGAGGUGUUGGUGUAGAUCGCGGUGAUGAUGAUGAUGGCCACGGCGGCGUUCCGGCGCCACCGGAGGAGGGGGGAGAGGGGCCCCCUUCUUCCUCUUCUUCCUUGACCUCCUCCCUAGAUGAGAGAAGGGUUUCCCCUCUGGUCCUUGGCCUCCAUGGCAUGGGAGGGGCGAGAGCCCCUCCGAGAUUGGAUCUAUCUCUCUGUUUCUCUCUGGUUCUGCGUUCUGUCCUGGCUCUGUUUCACCGUUUCGUAUAUAUAUGGAGAUCCGUAACUCCGAUUGGCCUGAAACCUUCGCUGUGAUUUUUUCUUGAAUAUUAGCUUUCUUGCAGCAAAAUAAGAGCAUCAACCGCCUUACGGUGGGCUCAUGAGGGUAGGGGGCGCGCCCUAGGGGGGGCCUGCCUCGUGACCACCUCGGGCACUGGUUCGUGUUGAUUUUCCUUCCGAAUUUUCCAUAUUUUCCAAAAAUAAGCUCCGUCCGUUUUUAUCCUGUUUGGACUCCGUUUGAUAUGGAUAUUCUGCGAAACCAAAAACAUGCAACAGACAGGAACUGGCACUGGGCACUGGAUCAAUAUGUUAGUCCUAAAAAUAAUAUAAAAGUUGCCAAAAAGUAUAUGAAAGUUGAAUAAUAUUGGCAUGGAACAAUCAAAAAUUAUAGAUACGACGGAGACGUAUCAAAAGGCCAAAUAAAAAAAUAAAGGCCAAAAAAAGGGGGGGACAAUGCUACUAUCCUUUUACCACACUUGUGCUUCAAAGUAGCACCACGAUCUUCAUGAUAGAGAGUCUCCUAUGUUGUCACUUUCAUAUACUAGUGGGAAUCUUUCAUUAUAGAACUUGGCUUGUAUAUUCCAAUGAUGGGCUUCCUCAAAAUGCCCUAGGUCUUCAUGAGCAAGCAAGUUGGAUGCACACCCACUUAGUUUCUUUUUGAGCUUUCAUACACUUAUAGCUCUAGUGCAUCCGUUGCAUGGCAAUCCCUACUCACUCACAUUGAUAUCUAUUAAUGGGCAUCUCCAUAGCCCGUUGAUACGCCUAGUUGACGUGAGACUAUCUUCUCCCUUUUUGUCUUCUCCACAACCACCAUUCUAUUCCACCUAUAGUGCUAUGUCCAUGGCUCACGCUCAUGUAUUGCGUGAAGAUUGAAAAAGUUUGAGAACAUCAAAAGUAUGAAACAAUUGCUUGGCUUGUCAUCGGGGUCGUGCAUGAUUUAAAUACUUUGUGUGGUGAAGAUAGAGCAUAGCCAGACUAUAUGAUUUUGUAGGGAUAGCUUUCUUUGGCCAUGAUAUUUUGAGAAGACAUAAUUGCUUUAUUAGUAUGCUUGAAGUAUUAUUGUUUUUAUGUCAAUAUGAACUUUUGUCUUGAAUCUUUCGGAUCUGAAUAUUCAUAUCACAAGUAAGAAGAAUUACAUUGAAAUUAUGCCAACUAGCAUUCCACAUCAAAAAUUAUCUUUUUAUCAUGUACCUACUCGAGGACGAGUAGGAAUUAAGCUUGGGGGUGCUUGAUACGUCUCCAAUGUAUCUAUAAUUUUUGAUUGCUCCAUGCUAUAUUAUCUACUAUUUUGGGCAAUAUUGGGCUUUAUUAUCCACUUUUAUAUUAUUUUUAGGACUAACCUAUUAACCGGAGGCCCAACCCAGAUUUGCUGUUU